rnacentral:lncRNA from 1 species
CUUGAUGCAGGGUCAGCCAGCAGGAUUCAUCCAUGCGACCAAGGGCUUGAGGUAGGGAUGCCCGUUAUCCCCGUAAGGAGUUAGUGGCCAAAAUGUUGAACAGAGCCCUCAAGAAACAACAACGACAGGGGAAACUUGUGGGACUCAAUAUAAAACCGGGGAUGGAGGCUCCCCUGAUUUCCCAAUUUGCUGAUGACACAGUCAUCAUAACGUGCGUAGAGCCACAAUUACCUCUCUCAUACCUUGCGAUUUUCUAGGCUUCUGGGGGAAUUAGAAAUUCUUCUAUUCGAAAAGUUAGUCAAAUUCUAUUUUUGAAUGUUCCGGUACACCGACAGAGAUUCUUCGGCUGCUUCACUGCUCAAUGGGAAAC